UAUAUGAAUAAAUUUUAUUUUAAAUUGCUAGUUUAAAAUUUUUCUAAAGUGAAGUUAUUUAA
rnacentral:tRNA from 1 species